CAUUUUUCUUGACUCAGAAUAAAGUUGGAAAAAGAAAAAAAAAACAGUUCAGUGACAUCAAGAACUGUUAAGAAGAUAUUCCUACUGACUGGAUAAAUCUGACCUCAGGAAGCUCCAGUGAUCUGAAGCUCCAGUGAUCUGCAGGAAAGAGGUUAUAUAUACUUUAAAAUAUUUAUGUUAUCCC
rnacentral:lncRNA from 1 species